rnacentral:lncRNA from 1 species
GAGUCUGAUGAUCCAUGACAUGCUGCCAUUUAUGAUGUGCCUGAGAAUUAAAUAGAUGAGAGGCUGGAAUUAUUUAUAUCAUGAAAAAACUUUACCAAUGGCCCAACAUGUAAACUUCAACAGAAGUUUAUUGUUUUCUAUCCAUAAUCAACACAGUAAGUUUUAUCAUCAAUCUAAUAAAGAACCUCUUAAAUAUUUAGGUUAUGCUUAGUUGCAUUUUAAGUAGGAAAUUUUAUAUACCAGAGAUAUCUAUAGAUUCAGUAGCGGUGUUCAAGUCUUACAAAACCGCUACUCUAGUAGGUCUACAUGGAAUACUUUGCAUUGCUUUUAGGCAGUCAAGCAUGAAAACUUUAAAAAUGUAAAAAGGGCCAAACUGCCUGAUCAUAUGAACUUCUUAUAAAUAUCCUCCUAGGCAGCAAGCCAUACUGCUCAGACCCCUCCCACCCAUAUGUAGGUUUUGUAGUUGAUAGUUUAUCCCUUCCCACUCAGAUAUUGAGUUACAUGAGAAUAUUUUCCUCCUAACUAUUAAAUUUGCCAAGUCCCAGCUACCGGGGAGGCUGAGGCAGGAGAAUCGCUUGAACCUGGGAGGCAGAGGUUGCAGUGAGCCGAGAUUGUGCCACUGCACUCCAGCCUGAGCAACAGAGUGAGACUCCAUCUCAAAAAAUAAAAAAAUAAAAUAAAAAUUAAAAGUCAACAUUUAAAAGACU